GAAAGACACCUUGACCACCUACAGCCAACACAAAUACACCAUAUGAUGUUUGUGACCAGGGGUGAUAAAAAAUAAAUAGUUUAUAGCAGGAGUGAAAUCUCUGGUAUAAAAAUCUUGCCAAAAUAGUGUUCUCCCUUUUCUUUUUACAUACUGCAAAUACUCCAGUUCUAAGGGGGAUGGGACUCUUCCUAAUGGCAUUCAGUGGCUUUUAGAUCUAGACCCCAGGUACCAAAACAUAUCAUCAGAUUCUAGUCUUCCCUAAAUAGACUGUCCUAGGGUAUAGCUGAAGGCAGAAUUCAGAGUUAAAUCAGUGUUGUACAGGGACAGAACUGGUCAGAAAGCAGUGAAUUGAGCUUUUGGGGGGUUAUUUGCUAUACUAAAGGUAUGAAACAGGGCAGGGGAGACAAAUUUUUGGAAUCCAAUUAGAAUAUUGGAGCUGUGAAUAACUGAAAUGCUCAUUCUUUGUCAGUGUUUGCAGGAUGCUGCAGCUUUGCAUAUUUGGUGAAAUUAGAUAAAUUUUUAUCUGCAGAAUAAGAAAAAAGUACUACUAAAGUAAAGUACUUACUUUGGCUGGCCAAGAGCUUUUCCAAAGACUGGGACCACUGCAUUACUUCCUCUGCAGAAAGCCUAAAUUGACAGGAGAAGGAAAAGGCUUUAGUGCAGAUCUGAGAGCCCAGACUGAGGAAAAAUAAUUGGAAAAAUGGAAAAACAGGCAACUGUGCAGUCACUCUGAAUUCUGUUCCCUGAAAGAUGAGCUGCUACCGUGACUAUGACCAAAUCCUUUUGAAUCCAUGUUACUGUUUCCAUAUAUCUGAAAUGAGACUUGUAAUACCUUGGCUAUUCCCUUGAGCAUGAAGCAUUUUUUCUUGUAAACCUUUACAGAUUGGAUAUGAUAUGCCUCUGAAGAAGAUAGAUUUAAGAGAGGCUUCUUCUUCCCCAUCAUUUGAUGCAAAUAUAAUCAUCACUAACAAUGAAUUUAGGAAGCAGAAAUUAUUAAUGAAUUUAUAAUAUUAGUCCCUUUUGAAAAUUUCAGGCACUAUUUUGUUGUGUUAGAAAUAAUUUAUUGGUCUAAGAGUAGUUUAGAAGCCAGUAAAAAGUAGUUGGAAUAUAUAGCAAUCUAACCAUAGAUUUGCUUUUUGUACUUACACGACAUUUCUGGAGUUGGAAGCCUUAAUCCCAGAUUCAAGAUGCGGGACCAUGCACUUCAAAUAAUUCUUGAGAUCCGCACCACUGAAACCAAUGAACAGACAUUCUGUAAUCCUUUACAAUCGCAGUUGCAUUUCAAUUCUACAUAAAUUCCUUAAAGCUUAAAUAGAGGCAAACAGCUCAAUCCUAGGACUGAAGCCUGUGAAGUUGCAUAUCCAUGUAAUUCUUCUCAAAAGACUGACUGCCACUGUAUCCAAAAAUCUCAUCCUGCUUGCCUAAAUUAAUCAAUUCGUUGGUUUCUAUUAGCUCAAGCCACUUACAGUGAUGCUAUAUUCCUGGGCUUUGAGCAGGAGUUAGUUAGCAGUCAGUUAGCCUGAAAAAGGCGCUAAUUCUUAAUCUUCAAGAUCUAGUGUUAUUUUCAUUUCUAACACAUUAGAGUUUAGACUGAGACAUGUAUACUUACAAAGCCUUUUGCUUCUUUUUAUGGAUUUUGCCUUCUGCAAGCUUGCAGUCGUCUUUUCCAUUUAUUUCAGUCAUGUUGUGGUGGGAGAAAAAUAAUCCUGGCAUUUUACUUAGCCUUGAUGCGAAGCGCCUUGCGCAGCGAUAAUCCUCCAAGCACCAAA